rnacentral:rRNA from 1 species
CUUUGUUUAUGUAACCGGAACCUUCUGGAAAGUUGGGCGAUAUGGGUGAUAGCCCCGUACGGAUACAGCAUAUUCAAAGUCCUUGAGUAGGGCGGAACACGUGAAAUUCUGUCUGAAUGUGGGGCGACCACGCUCCAAGCCUAAGUACUCCUAUGCGACCGAUAGUGAACCAGUACCGU